AAGCCGGGCCCUGCUCUUUUCGGGACAGUAGCGCCUAAAGCGGCCCUUUCCGGAUGUGGGUUCCCCUGACAAGUGCUUGGGGGGUAACCCGUGAAACCGAAAGCCUGGCCACACCCUCCGCGGAUGCGGCGCGCCAGCUGGAUGUCCUUGGGCAUGAUGGUGACGCGCUUGGCGUGGAUGGCGCACAGGUUGGUGUCCUCGAAGAGCCCCACCAGGAUAAUGCGAACAAGUUCUCUACCGCUGUUCACUUAGCAGUCUGUCCUGGAUCUUUGGCUGUAAUGGGACCCAGAGCUCUCCAUCUCUUUCCACAGAUGGCCACCAUGCUUCCCUUUCCACAUGGGGAAUCCUAACUACAAAGGAAACAGAUAAGGAAGCAGGGAUUACAAACAACGCCAGGAACAUUCCCGCACGUGUGUUUCGGCACCUAUGUGGACACACGUGUGUUGUUUGUAACCCAGAACCAGAAAUCACUGGGUCAAACCCUAAACUUUUUCAGAGUUCUUGUACCAGUUUACCUGCUCUGGAAUCAAAAAAUGAAAAUUAAAGCCACAGUUAUAAACAUCUGGAUAAACCUCACAAACCUAGUAUCGAGUAAAAUUUAGAUGAAAAUCCCUGUUUCACAUCCUUCUAGUUUUGUUUAUUUUUUUCAUUAAAAAUGUUAGUCUUCUUAAAUGUUAUCCAUCGUGGCAGAUGUGUGGUACCUCCCUGUGGUUUUCUUUUGCAUCUCUUGCCCAUUUUUCUACUGCACUGUGUGCUCCUCUGCUUGGUCUGCCCCCAACAAAACACCACGGCCUGGGUGCCUUACACAGACACGUAUUUUCCCACAGUUCUGGAGCUCCACGACUGAUGUUCACAGGGCUGACCUGCCGUCCUCAGCCCCCCUGGAGGAAGAGCAGAUCCUGUGUGGCCCAAAGCUCCCAUUAGGAGUUAUACUGUUGACUGUCCAGUGGCCAAGGCCACCAGGUAAACAAAGACACUCUUAUCAGGCAGGACACUCCAAGGGCCUAGAGACCACCUCCUAGCAGCCACGGGCAAAGGCCAGACCUCU